CCCUUAGAUGUUCUGGGCCGCACGCGCGCUACACUGAUGCAUUCAACAAGCCUAGCCUUGACCGAGAGGUCCGGGUAAUCUUUGAAACUGCAUCGUGAUGGGGCUAGAUUAUUGCAAUUAUUAAUCUUCAACGAGGAAUGCCUAGUAAGCGUGAUUCAUCAAAUCGCGUUGAUUACGUCCCUGCCCUUUGUACACACCGCCCGUCGCUCCUACCGAUUGAAUGUGUUGGUGAGGAGCUCGGAUUGGUAGCAGUUGGUGGUUCGCCACCGGCUAUUGCUGAGAAGUCCUCCAAACCGCCCCAUUUAGAGGAAGGAGAANUCGUANCA
rnacentral:rRNA from 1 species